CCUACGGGUGGCAGCAGUGAGGAAUAUUGGUCAAUGGCCGUAAGGCUGAACCAGCCAAGUAGCGUGAGGGAAGACUGCCCUAUGGGUUGUAAACCUCUUUUAUGCGGGGAUUAAGGUGUCUAUGUGUGGAUUUUUGCAGGUACCGCAUGAAUAAGGCCCGGCUAAUUCCGUGCCAGCAGCCGCGGUAAUACGGAAGGUCCGGGCGUUAUCCGGAUUUAUUGGGUUUAAAGGGAGCGUAGGCCGGUCAUUAAGCUUGCCGUGAAAUUUUGUGGCUCAACCAUGAUAGUGCGGUGGGAACUGGAAACCUGGAGUGCGCGGAAGGCAGGCGGAAUUCGUGGUGUAGCGGUAAAAUGCUUAGAGAUCACGAAGAA
rnacentral:rRNA from 1 species